rnacentral:lncRNA from 10 species
AGGCAGCCAGACCCUCCUACCCCUUAGAAAGCAAGGUUCUAGCAGCAUCUCUGUAGGGGUUCAUGGUAGGGGCGAGGGCAAUGGCUCUGCCUGCCCAGUGCCUCAGCUCAGUGCCCAGAUCCCUGCCGCUUAUCCCUCCAGACCUCGUCUGGGCCCUGCCUUUGUUCUCAUGCAGCAACUGUCUCCAGGAGAUGGAGAUGACAUCAGAAUAGCCGGAGCAGGUGUGAUCCAAGGUUCUGCAAGGAAAAGGAAGGAUGGUGUGGAGUGUGUUGCUGCAGGGAAGGCUUCCCAGUGGAGGUGGCUCCUGAGCUCUAGGAAAAGGGAAGUGAGUGUCCUUCCAGGCAGAGGGAACAGCAGGUGCAAAGGCCUGGGGGCUCGUCUAUAAGGCCCGCUGGAGUCACAAGCCCCAUCCCAGACUCUCCAACGCUGGACCUGCAGCGCCCAGCCCUGCCCUGGUGCUACCACCUGCCAGCUCUGUGCCUGCCCCUCCACUAGAUCAUGACUUCGGCUCCAGCUCCCUCACUCUCCAUGCCUCUCACUUGCGGGUUGUGCCCUGCUCAGCUGGCCAGACUUUGGCCCCCUCCCUACCUGGAUUUGUGAAGCCCCAAAUUUCAUCUCCCCCACCACACUUAUUCACAGCCUCCGCCUGCUGACAUACCCAGGCAAGACUCCCUUCCCCUCCAGGCAGCCAAACUUCAGUUCGAAUCUUCUGGCUCUUACCAGACCCCUGAUGAAUCCCAGGAUCUUCGCAGGUGGUCCCAGGGCCUCUUUGAACCACAGUUUUACUUAUCUGAAAAAUAAAAAGGCAUGA